rnacentral:misc_RNA from 1 species
GAUGAAGAACGUAGCGAAAUGCGAUAAGUAAUGUGAAUUGCAGAAUUCAGUGAAUCAUCGAAUCUUUGAUCGCACAUUGCGCCCGCCAGUAUUCUGGCGGGCAUGCCUGUUCGAGCGUCAUUACAACCCUCAGGCCCCCGGGCCUGGCGUUGGGGAUCGGCGGAGCCCCCCGUGGGCACACGCCGUCCCCCAAAUGCAGUGGCGGUCCCGCCGCAGCUUCCAUCGCGUAGUAGCUAACACCUCGCGACUGGAGAGCGGCGCGGCCACGCCGUAAAACACCCAACUCUUCUGAAGUUGACCUCGAAUCAGGUAGGAAUACCCGCUGAACUUAAGCAUAUCAAUAAGCGGAGGA